rnacentral:lncRNA from 1 species
CUUCUCCGAAACAAAUUUUAAAUGAACCAACCCAUGUCUCUUUACUGUCAUGGCAUGCGCUGGGCCGGAGGCAGGUCUUGAGCAAGGACCACAGGACGUGGAUACACAGCCUGCACCUUCCGGCUUUAGCUGUUACCUGGUGGUUGAGGAGAGACUGGGAAACAAAGAGUUACCAUGUGCAGACUGAACACGGAGAUUUCAGAUGAAUUAUGCUUCGAGACACUUUGUCCUUUUUGGGGGGGGGGGGACAAACACACAGUGUGGUGCACCACUGUCUGGUAAGUGCUGGCUACCUGGUCUCUCUAAGCGAGCUUCUGUGGAUGUCAUCUGUAGUGAAGUGCCGCUUCCCAGCGGCUAUCCUGACAGGUGACUGAUGGACUGCUCUCUUCCUGAGGGUGUGGGCAUCAGAUCCAAAAUAUCAGUCAAUGUUCUGGCUGUGGUGGGCAUGCUGCCUCAUCAGCCUUGCCCUCCCAGGGCAGUGGCAGGUUCCUCCACGGGGCAUGUGACAGCCUUUGCGUUGCUGUGAUCUCGCAUGGCCAACCCCACUUCUCUGCUUACUGCUGGAGCGGGGCUCAAGUGUUUUGGCUGCUGGAGGUCCAAGUUAGGCCUUUGUUUAUGCUAGGGAUGAGCUCUGCCACUGAAUGAUACCUCAGGCUCCCCAUUUCUCGCUUCCAUGUCUUGUUCUCUGGUUCCUAGGGUCCUGUUUUAGCCUCCACCUCUUAGAGUCUCUGCUGCUUUAACAGCAGGGAUAAUUGGGCAAGGGGUAGAAACACACCACCACCCCACCAUCCGCAGGCUUCAGCCUCCGUAUCCUUCAGUGGAAGGAGAGAAUAUUAAGCCAAAAUGCUGGGUGUGUCCAGGUUGGAACAGGGACUGAGUGAACUCUCCAGAAAUACCAGUCAGAGACAGACAUCUCUCUGUGACACUGACAUCUCACAGGUAUACUCUGUGGGCUCUCAGGAGCCCCGGUGAAGGUACAUGUCGUAGAUGUACACGCAACUAAUUGUAUUUUGUUUUGCAAUAAAGAUGUUUAGCCUUAAGACCCUUGAGUGGAAGUCCAGCUGCCGUGGGGGUGCCAGUACCCCUUU